UACGUAGGGGGCAAGCGUUGUCCGGAUUUAUUGGGCGUAAAGAGCGUGUAGGCGGCUAGGUAGGUCCGUUGUGAAAACUCCAGGCUCAACCUGGAGACGCCACCCGAUACUGCUUUAGCUAGAGUCCGGUAGGGGAGCAUGGAAUUCCUGGUGUAGCGGUGAAAUGCGCAGAUAUCAGGAGGAACACCGGUGGCGAAGGCGGUUCUCUGGGAAUGACCUGACGCUGAGGAGCGAAAAGUGUGGGGAGCGAACAGG
rnacentral:rRNA from 1 species